rnacentral:rRNA from 1 species
CGGGACGGGUGAGUAACGCGUGGGUAACCUGCCUUGUACAGGGGGAUAACAGUUGGAAACGGCUGCUAAUACCGCAUAAGCGCACGGCAUCGCAUGAUGCAGUGUGAAAAACUCCGGUGGUAUAAGAUGGACCCGCGUUGGAUUAGCUAGUUGGUGAGGUAACGGCCCACCAAGGCGACGAUCCAUAGCCGACCUGAGAGGGUGACCGGCCACAUUGGGACUGAGACACGGCCCAA